AUCUGGCGGUCUUUGGCCGUCCGAGUUGUAGUCUGGAGAAGCGUCUUCCGCGUUGGACCGUGUACAAGUCUCUUGGAACAGAGCGUCAUAGAGGGUGAGAAUCCCGUCUUUGACACGGACUAACAAUGCUUUGUGAUGCGCUCUCAAAGAGUCGCGUUGUUUGGGAAUGCAGCGCAAAAUGGGAGGUGAAUUCCUUCUAAAGCUAAAUAUUGGCGAGAGACCGAUAGCGAACAAGUACCGUGAGGGAAAGAUGAAAAGCACUUUGGAAAGAGAGUUAAACAGUACGUGAAAUUGCUGAAAGGGAAACGCUUGAAGUCAGUCGCGUCGUCCGGAACUCAGCCUUGCUUCGGCUUGGUGCACUUUCCGGUUGACGGGCCAGCAUCGAUUUUGACCGCUGGAAAAGGGCUGGAGGAAUGUGGCACCUUCGGGUGUGUUAUAGCCUUCAGUCGCAUACAGCGGUUGGGAUCGAGGAACGCAGCACGCCUUAUGGCUGGGGUUCGCCCACAUUCGUGCUUAGGAUGCUGGCAUAAU
rnacentral:rRNA from 1 species